rnacentral:rRNA from 1 species
UCCGUAGGCGGGUAAUUAAGUCAGAGGUGAAAUCCCACAGCUUAACUGUGGAACUGCCUUAGAUACUGGUUAUCUUGAGUUUUAGUGAAGUAGAUAGAAUGUGUAGUGUAGCGGUGAAAUGCAUAGAUAUUACACAGAAUACCGAUUGCGAAGGCAGUCUACUAACUAACAACUGACGCUAAUGGACGAAAGCGUGGGGAGCGAACAGGAUUAGAUACCCUGGUAGUCCC